AAGUGAUUUACUGGAUAAUUGCAAACCAAUAUUUUUUGUGUAGCUUUCCUAUGUUGCAGGAGAAAGCUUUCUUUCUGCUGUAAUUUAGUAAUUGACCUAUGUCUUUAACUGUGAGCCUGUAGGCGCAGAACUAUUGUGAAAUUGUGUCAUCAAGUUCAGUUUUACUAUGGUGGGAUUUAUCAGAAAUUUAUAAAUGCUUCUGAAGAUCAUAGUUGGUCUUACAUUCUAUAACUUCAUGGUCAAUUAUUAAUAUAAGUGUUGCUUGGAUUCAAAACCUUCUUUUUUUUAAAAAAUAAUGAUAAUAAUAAUAAUA
rnacentral:misc_RNA from 1 species